AUCUGUGGUCGGCACGUCUGGUAGCAUCUCUGGCUGCUGUUGAUCUUGUUUUUGGAGUAAUCACGGUGGAAGCUGAAUUAGUGAGGAUGACUCCUGCUCCUGUCAUCUCUAAGCUCCUCACACAUCUUUACCUGCACAUGAGGAAAAUCACUCCUGUAGAAUGCAAAUGUUCAGAGGGAGAUGAUGCCACAUCUGGUCCAGCUGAUGGAAGGUCUUGAAGUUCUCUGACUGGCCUCGACUGAAGAUGGUCGUCUCACUGGAUUUAAGAUGCACAAUGAGGGACGUCUGCAGAGACUGAGAAAGAGUCUCACCACAUCCUUACAUGAGGAAAAAGACUUUAUUGAAGACUACAAUGAGAAAAACUAUCAGACAGCAGACGGCUGCAUUCAAGGCUACAGGAGGAGUCCUACGAGGACGAGCCGGUCCACCUGAUGGUGGCCAGUCGCUGCGGUUCAAAGCCAACACCAACUACAUGGACUUCUACUGGACCACACGGAGGCCUUCAAACCAGACCAACAAGUUCAGCGACUCCCCGACUCGUGGGUCUGAGGACGCCGCCGAGCCUCGGCCCAGCCGGCCUCCUGUCUGUGGGUGUUUGAGUGCUGAGAGGUUUGAGGAUGCAUGUGAACGUUCUGUGUUGAAACAGCAGCUUUUGACUCAGUAACGCCGGGAAAAACCAAGAGCUCCUUUAUUUGUCACUUCCACUAAAAAAACUGAACAAAAUAAGUUUGCCAGGUUUCUGACUGAUAACAGAUUAUUAAAUAAUGAAAAUAAUCAUUUAAAUAUUCCUUUAAACAAUCCUUUUAGGUCUACAUUUCCUUUACACUGACUUCUUGGUAUAUGUACAAGUAUUUUGGGUGGAAUAUACCAUUAAGCCUAAUAUUCAAGGGUUCUUCUGGGAAUAUACCAUUAAACCAACCUUUUACGUAAAUGUUCCAGGAUGUUGGGUAGAAUAUACCAUCAGAUAAACCUUUUAGGUCUACACUGGAAGAUUUUAGAGUAGAAUAUUACUCCAAACCAUCCUUUAGGUCUACAUUUAAGGUGGAAUACUCCUUUACACCAAGAUUGUUUGGUCUACAUUGAAAGAUUUUAGGUGAAAUAUUCCUUUGAACGAACUUUUUAAGUUUAUGUUCAAGGAUGUUGGGUGGAAUAUACCAUCAGACCAACCUUCAAGGUCUACAGUAGUGAAUUUUAGGUGGAAUAUACCAUUAAACUCACCUUUUAGGUCUACAUUGGAGGAUUUUAGGUGGAAUUUUCUUUCAAACCAUCUUUUAGUCUACAUUUAAGGAUGUUUAGGAUGGCAUAUUCUUCCAGACCAACUUCUCAGGUCUACAUUUCAGGUGGAAUAUUCCUCCAUACUAACUUUUUUGGUCUACAUUGAAGAAUUUUUUCUAAACCACCCUUUCGGGUCUAUAUUUGAGGUUUUAGGUGGAAUAUUCCUUUUAACCAGCCCUUCAGGUCUCUUUGAGGAUUUUGAAUGGAAUACUCGGUUAAACCAACAUUUUAGGUGCAUGUCUAAGGAUUUUUGGUGGAAUGUUCCUUUAAGGUGGAUGUUUGAGGACCUUGUAGGUGGGAUACUUCCUGAAACCAACCUUUUAGGUCAACAUUCAAAGAUUUAAGGUAGAAUAUUCCUUUAAACCAACCUAAAUUUCAUGUUUUGAUUGUUAUCAAGUGAGAAACCUCAAUCCAGACUUCUCAUAAUGAUGUUUGAGAUUUCAUGCUGCUGUUAUUUGUUUAGUCCAGACUAAAUGACAGAAAUCCACAGCUGUAAUUUUAUUUCAGGACUCGGUUAUUAAAUGUCAAAACAAUCCAUGUUACUCUAAAAACUCAAAAGCUGUACACACUCUAAGAUUAAACUCUCCACAAGGAUCCAAACUAAGUUGGACUUCUACAUGAGAGCUUUAAUUAUUCUUCAUCUACUUCCUGAAAAGUUUGGUCAAUAAAAAAGACAAAAACUAAUAUUUUCAGCUGAACUAAAGACAGACAUUGUGAUUUUUCUGCUCACAUGUUGUGUUGUUCUAAACCAGUGUUUCUCAAAUAGUGGGGCGCGCCCCCCUGGGGGGGCGCAGAGGCAUGUCAAGGGGGGCGCGGGCGACUGGGAGGAAAAGGUCCUUCAACGCGGAACUAAUUAACUGAACUAUUGUUUUAACGUCGGCCUGUUUUUCGCGGCGUACAACAAUACUGAAAUUGUGCUGGCCCCAUAGACUGUAUAUGCCAUAGA
ensembl:lncRNA